AGCGGCGGACGGGUGAGUGGGCGGGAGUAACCUGCCCUAUACACACGGAUAACAUACCGAAAGGUAUGCUAAUACGAGAUAAUAUAAGAGAUUCGCAUGGAUUUCUUAUCAAAGCUGAGGCGGUAUAGGAUGGACCCGCGUCUGAUUAGCUAGUUGGUAAGGUAACGGCUUACCAAGGCGACGAUCAGUAGCCGACCUGAGAGGGUGAUCGGCCACAUUGGAACUGAGACACGGUCCAAACUCCUACGGGAGGCAGCAGUGGGGAAUAUUGCACAAUGGGCGAAAGCCUGAUGCAGCAACGCCGCGUGAGUGAUGAAGGCCUUCGGGUCGUAAAACUCUGUCCUCAAGGAAGAUAAUGACGGUACUUGAGGAGGAAGCCCCGGCUAACUACGUGCCAGCAGCCGCGGUAAUACGUAGGGGGCUAGCGUUAUCCGGAUUUACUGGGCGUAAAGGGUGCGUAGGUGGUCUCUUAAGUCAGGAGUGAAAGGCUACGGCUUAACCGUAGUAAGCUCUUGAAACUGGGAGACUUGAGUGCAGGAGAGGAAAGUGGAAUUCCUAGUGUAGCGGUGAAAUGCGUAGAUAUUAGGAGGAACACCAGUAGCGAAGGCGGCUUUCUGGACUGUAACUGACACUGAGGCACGAAAGCGUGGGGGAGCAACAGGAUUAGAUACCCUGGUAGUCCACGCCGUAAACGAUGAGUACUAGGUGU
rnacentral:rRNA from 1 species